UAGGGAAUCUUCCGCAAUGGGCGAAAGCCUGACGGAGCAACGCCGCGUGAGUGAUGAAGGUCUUCGGAUCGUAAAACUCUGUUAUUAGGGAAGAACAAAUGUGUAAGUAACUAUGCACGUCUUGACGGUACCUAAUCAGAAAGCCACGGCUAACUACGUGCCAGCAGCCGCGGUAAUACGUAGGUGGCAAGCGUUAUCCGGAAUUAUUGGGCGUAAAGCGCGCGUAGGCGGUUUUUUAAGUCUGAUGUGAAAGCCCACGGCUCAACCGUGGAGGGUCAUUGGAAACUGGAAAACUUGAGUGCAGAAGAGGAAAGUGGAAUUCCAUGUGUAGCGGUGAAAUGCGCAGAGAUAUGGAGGAACACCAGUGGCGAAGGCGACUUUCUGGUGUAACUGACGCUGAUGUGCGAAAGCGUGGGGAUCAAACAGG
rnacentral:rRNA from 1 species